GAGUGAGAAGGUUCCUGGCCACCACCGCAGCGGUCAUAUCAUUCUUCAUCACGGAAUCCCAACGGUAAGAGGACCAGUAGGGGAGACGAAGGAUGGGCGCCAUAUGUUGUCUGGAGAAGGCGGGGCUGCCUCUUCAACAAGGUUCAAGUCAAAACGACGGUCGGAGGGGCCAGACAUUUUCAAAGGUGUUGAAGAGAGAAGAGGU
rnacentral:lncRNA from 1 species